AACGAACGCUGGCGGCAUGCCUAACACAUGCCAGUCGAACGAGACCUUCGGGUCUAGUGGCGCACGGGUGCGUAACGCGUGGGAACCUGCCCUUAGGUUCGGAAUAACUCCCCGAAAGGGGUGCUAAUACCGGAUAAUGUCUUCGGACCAAAGAUUUAUCGCCUUUGGAUGGGCCCGCGUUGGAUUAGCUAGUUGGUAGGGUAAAAGCCUACCAAGGCGACGAUCCAUAGCUGGUCUGAGAGGAUGAUCAGCCACACUGGGACUGAGACACGGCCCUGACUCCUACGGGAGGCAGCAGUGGGGAAUAUUGGACAAUGGGCGAAAGCCUGAUCCAGCAAUGCCGCGUGAGUGAUGAAGGCCUUAGGGUUGUAAAGCUCUUUUAACCGGGAUGAUAAUGACAGUACCGGGAGAAUAAGCACCGGCUAACUCCGUG
rnacentral:rRNA from 1 species